rnacentral:rRNA from 1 species
AGUGAACGCUGGCGGUAGGCCUAACACAUGCAAGUCGAACGGCAGCACAGUAAGAGCUUGCUCUUACGGGUGGCGAGUGGCGGACGGGUGAGGAAUACAUCGGAAUCUACUUUUUCGUGGGGGAUAACGUAGGGAAACUUACGCUAAUACCGCAUACGACCUACGGGUGAAAGCAGGGGAUCUUCUGACCUUGCGCGAUUGAAUGAGCCGAUGUCGGAUUAGCUAGUUGGCGGGGUAAAGGCCCACCAAGGCGACGAUCCGUAGCUGGUCUGAGAGGAUGAUCAGCCACAAUGGAACUGAGACACGGUCCAGACUCCUACGGGAGGCAGCAGUGGGGAAUAUUGGACAAUGGGAGCAAGCCUGAUCCAGCCAUACCGCGUGGGUGAAGAAGGCCUUCGGGUUGUAAAGCCCUUUUGUUGGGAAAGAAAAGCAGCAGGUUAAUACCCCGCUGUUCUGACGGUACCCAACGAAUAAGCACCGGCUAACUUCGUG